GAUGAUAUGAAGACAUUGGUGUGAUGCCAGUGGUGUCCUCCAAUUUGGCUGAAAGAAGUGUACAGGUUUGCUGACUGCGGUGCAUAAGGACUACUCUACUAUAUAUAUGAUAUCAGAAGCAGGUGUCCAAUCCCAGCCUGAAGGAUAUGUCUGCUGGAGCAAAGGACAACUUCCAAAACCAGUUUUGGGCUGGAAACCAAGAUAGUGGCAGCAUCCAUUCCUUUUAUGAUGUCGCUGCUAAUCCAGAUUCGUAUGGCAAAGGCACCAGAUUUUUGAGACAAGUAGAAUAAUGUAUAAUGUAGUUUUACUAUAUCUAAUGUAUCUAUAACGCAAUUUCGAUGUAAAUUCAACCAUAUCAAUAGUAUACCCGCAGCACUGCGCGGGCAUUUUGCCUAGUAGGAAUAUAAAUGUGACAUUUGAAAUACC
rnacentral:lncRNA from 1 species